rnacentral:rRNA from 1 species
AGUGAACGCUGGCGGUAGGCCUAACACAUGCAAGUCGAGCGGCAGCACAGUAAGAGCUUGCUCUUACGGGUGGCGAGUGGCGGACGGGUGAGGAAUACAUCGGAAUCUACUUUUUCGUGGGGGAUAACGUAGGGAAACUUACGCUAGUACCGCAUACGACCUACGGGUGAAAGCAGGGGAUCUUCGGACCUUGCGCGAUUGAAUGAGCCGAUGUCGGAUUAGCUAGUUGGCGGGGUAAAGGCCCACCAAGGCGACGAUCCGUAGCUGGUCUGAGAGGAUGAUCAGCCACACUGGAACUGAGACACGGUCCAGACUCCUACGGGAGGCAGCAGUGGGGAAUAUUGGACAAUGGGCGCAAGCCUGAUCCAGCCAUACCGCGUGGGUGAAGAAGGCCUUCGGGUUGUAAAGCCCUUUUGUUGGGAAAGAAAAGCAGCAGGUUAAUACCCCGCUGUUCUGACGGUACCCAAAGAAUAAGCACCGGCUAACUUCGUG